rnacentral:rRNA from 1 species
UGCAGAAUCCCGUGAACCAUCGAGUCUUUGAACGCAAGUUGCGCCCCAAGCCUUCGGGUUGAGGGCACGUCUGCCUGGGUGUCACGCAUUGUAGCAUUUACAACAUUAGUUGGUGUAAGGCUGGUAAUGGCUCUCCCGUCCUCGUAGUAGUGCGGUUGGCUGAAAUAGAGUAACCAUUAAUGUCAUGUAUACAUGAUGAUCGGUGGUUUGUCUUGGCUUACCCUCGUUAAGUUAUCAUGUAUAGCAUGUCAUUGCACUUGGUUGCAUUUGUACUUCAAACCUUUGUUUGAAGAUAGUAUGCAUUGCGACCCCAGGUCAGGCGGGAAUACCCGCUGAGUUUAAGCAUAUCAAUAAGCGGAGGAGAAGAAACUUACCAGGAUUCCCUUAGUAACGGCGAGCGAACCGGGAAUAGCCCAGCUUGAAAAUCGGUUGCCUUUGGUUUCCGA